GUUUUCUCCUCUCUUCUCUCUUACCCCAACCAACCAACAACUGAAAAUGAAAAACACGAUGUUCAUAAUAAUUGGAUUCAGCUCUUAACUCCAAUAAUUUGGCUCACGCUUUUCCCAGCAGAAAAGAGUGGGGAGAAUCGUAUGAACUGACAGAUGCCGCAAGAAUCAGUUGUCAGGUGCAGAUGUGGUUGUAGCAGAGAUAAAUAAACAGGUUUACAAGGAAGAGGUGAAAAGGCAAAUCAGAAAGGUGCGUGUGCGAUGUGACCCACUCAUUCAUUGAGAAGCAAGCAUAGGAAAAAUGUGUGUAUUGAUUUGCAAUUAAUUUGGAAGCGUGGAAGUGGAAGAGUGUAUCUGAUCCAACUUUGGCACAUUCCUAUAACAACAACAUUAUGAUGAAGAUGAGAAACAAGCUUCUGUUCCCUCUCUUCAUCUCAAGCCAAGUUCUCUGCUAGGGCUCUCAAUCCUCACGUCUUUGAGCUAGCAAAACUCUCCCCUUUUUCCAGUUUCAGCUCACUGUCUUAGUUCUUGGAGCUGUUGUGCUACAUAGUUAGGGUCUGGUUGUUUUGGUGCUCAAACGAAGAUGACAGGGAUGCUCGAGAUGGAUCCGGGGAACGCAGCGGUGCGAUCUAGUUUUCUGUCGUGAUGACCUUAGGGGCAGAUUCAUGGCCAUAGGGCCUUUUGUAAUGGUUGCCGGUGGCAACUCCCUUUGGCGAAACUGUUGAAUUCUGUUAGUCUUCCUUUGGUUGUGGCAUGGUUUCAUGCUUAGUUAUUCUUCCUUUCGAAGUACUUUUGGGAUGACUGUAAUAGUUACCUCUCAUGUGUUUCAUGUUUA